UACGUAGGUGGCAAGCGUUGUCCGGAUUUACUGGGCGUAAAGAGCGCGCAGGCGGUCGGAUAAGUCGAGUGUGAAAGCCCCUGGCUCAACCAGGGAGGGUCAUUCGAUACUGUUCGACUCGAAGGCAGGAGAGGGAAGUGGAAUUCCGGGUGUAGUGGUGAAAUGCGUAGAUAUCUGGAGGAACACCGGUGGCGAAGGCGGCACCCUGGACCGGUAUUGACGCUGAGGCGCGAAAGCCAGGGGAGCAAACGGG
rnacentral:rRNA from 1 species